rnacentral:tRNA from 1 species
GCGCGAGUGGCGGAAUGGCAGACGCGCUGGCUUCAGGUGCCAGUGCCCUUCGGGGCGUGGAGGUUCAACUCCUCUCUCGCGCAC